rnacentral:lncRNA from 1 species
GCUAACUAGUUGUUAUCAUCCUUACACCAGAGAAGGCAGCCAGGGAUUUUUCUACAAAAUAAGCGAGCCUGCACAUGAAGCCUUAGAAGGGGUGGCUGAGGAAAGACGCUUACUCACCGGGCCCCUGAGCCUCUUUGGCUGCCAGACUCAGCGAGGAGACAGCUUCUGUCUCACUUCAUUCUGCCCAGCUGAUGCUCAAGGUCCACAUCCGUAGGAACUGCCCUGCCGAAUAGAAACAACCCCGUAGAGACAGAUGGAAACAAGUAAACCAAAAACACAAUAUGGAUGCUGCCUUUGUUCCUGCCUUGGAGGUCAUUGGCAUGAUCUCCUCUUCUAGAAGUGCUAUUUUCAUAUGUAUUGUCCUUGGGUGUUGACUUAAAUAGAACCUCCUGGCAAAGGUCUCCUCUCCCACCCAUCACUACAGUUCGUCCCUCUGAUCUCAUCCUCUGAG